UGGGGAAUAUUGGACAAUGGGCGCAAGCCUGAUCCAGCCAUGCCGCGUGAGUGAUGAAGGCCCUAGGGUUGUAAAGCUCUUUCACCGGUGAAGAUAAUGACGGUAACCGGAGAAGAAGCCCCGGCUAACUUCGUGCCAGCAGCCGCGGUAAUACGAAGGGGGCUAGCGUUGUUCGGAUUGACUGGGCGUAAAGCGCACGUAGGCGGACUUUUAAGUCAGGGGUGAAAUCCCGGGGCUCAACCCCGGAACUGCCUUUGAUACUGGAAGUCUUGAGUAUGGUAGAGGUGAGUGGAAUUCCGAGUGUAGAGGUGAAAUUCGUAGAUAUUCGAAGGAACACCAGUGGCGAAGGCGGCUCACUGGACCAUUACUGACGCUGAGGUGCGAAAGCGUGGGGAGCAAACAAG
rnacentral:rRNA from 1 species